CAUCUUGUGAGCAUCUGGGCCAAGUUCAGGGCUGGUGCUCUCGUUCAGAUAGAUUUAGCUGGUGGUGCAGAGAUCCGUGAGCUUGCUUUUACAGGACUUUAAUGAUAUAUAAAAGCAGCACGAGGUGCUCCUGACUGUGGAUUAAUUUGGAGAUGACUUUCUCUGUUGAAGAGUAGCAAGACUCUCGCGAGUUCUUAAAAAUGCACUUGUUUGGUAUGAGAAUGAAAAGCAGUGGCUGAAGAACCAAUCUUCAAUGGGCAAGCCUUCUCUGGGUCUUGCUCCGUCACCGAGUCUGGAGUGCAGUGGUAUGAUUAUGGCUUACUUGAACUUCUGGGCUCAAGCAAUCCUCCCACCUCAGCCUCCAGAAUAGCUGGGACUAUAAGUGUGGAUCAUCAACCCUGGCUAAUUUUUUGAUUUUUUAUAGAGACGAGGUCUCACCAUGUUGCCCAGACAAGUCUUUAACUCCUGGGCUCAAGCAAUCCUCCCACCUCAGCCUCCUAAAGUGCCGGGAUUACAGGCAUGAGCCACUGUGCCUGACUUCCAGAUUUGCAUCUUAAAGGGCUGUUCCAUUGAAUGUCUGUUCUAACACGUGCCAUUUGGGAUCCCUUGGAAUCUUCAUGUACAGAACUGGUUGCUGCCUCGUUGAGUCGGUGGGGACAGAAUAGCUCCUGGUUGACAGCAUGGGUUGUGCAGAAGGACGGAUCCUGCAGACAUCAAUAUCUGGCUUUGAGUGGCACAAAGAAAUAAAGGAAUGUGGAUUCAGACCUCACUGGGAUGCUUGGCAAUUCUAAUUCUACCCCAGACUGCAAAUGGACACACAACUGUUGUGACUUUUGUUGAAGAGGAGAAGGAUGGCACAGAAGCUGGAUUCAGAAGCACACAGGUCUGGGGAUGCAGGCUUCGGCCAGCCUGAUGCAAGGAAAGACUGCCAUCUCGUGGUCAGCUCAAUCCUGGCACCUUGGUGAGGGACCAGGCUGCAGAAAACCAGGCUUGGGGAGGAAACGGUGCUGCAAACUGGAUUUCUGCCGGACAGUGUGGAUGCCCUUAGAAAACACCCAGAAAAGAGCUGAGUGCCCCCCAAGGUAGGCUUCAGUGAAUCCUCUGCAGGUGUGUUGUCAUCCCUUGAGCCAAACACAUGCUUCACACACACGCUGCAGGCUGCGUGAAAAUGAGGUAGAAAUGUGGGGAAAACAUAAUCCCAUGGAGAGAACAAAGAGCUGAACACGUAAAUGCCUCCGGCGUGCCUGGCAGAGAGAACACUCAGGCUGAGAGAAGGGACAGUGACUUGUACCAAAGGUAGGCAAGUAGCCUCUGGGGUCUCAAUCAGCAGGGCAUCUGGUCAACCCUUCAGACAAAGUCAGGUCUGAGCAGGCAAGAUCCAUGGAUCUGAUUUAUUAAUAUUUUUACAAUUAAAUAGAAUCUGAUUGUAAAACUGUUACAUGUGUUGUAAGAAAAAAAGAAAAAAAGGAAGGAUAUAGAAAUGUACAAAGAAGGAAAUAAAAGACUGGAAGCGUCCUCACCUUAGGGACCCAUUAUUAACGCUUAGGUGGCCAAUCUUCCAGACAUCUUGCUACGAAUAUAUUCAAACGGGAAUUAAAAAUGUACUUUUACACAAGUGCAAUCAGACCUUGUACUCCUCUAUCCCAUAACCUACUUUUUCAUUCAACACUAUGACAGAAGCGUCUUUCCAGGUCCAUAAAUAAAGGCUGUUUCCCAUAUAAGGUUCAUGACCCCCAGUGAGGAUGAAACUGCCUGCAAGGUUUGUCUUCUCUCCUGUUCACUGGUUACUCAGCCAGGCUGAUUCAUGGGCUUCUCAAAGGAGCUUGUUUAUCAGAAGCUUGUCUAAGACACCACGUCUUCCAGAAAAUCUCACCUGAGUCACCAACAGAUUCCUCUAAGAGUCUGUAAGCCACUCCUGACCAGCAGGAAACCCCAACAGAGGCAAAGAAUAGGAAAUUAAAUAUUUCGUCAAGAAAAAAUGAGAGGCUGGGUGCGGUGGCUCAUGCCUAUAUCCCAGCACUUUAGGAGGCCUAAGCGGGCGGAUCAUUUGAGGUCAGGAGUUUGAGACCAGCCCGGCCAACAUGGUGAAACCCUGUCUCUACUAAAAAUACAAAAACAAUUAGCUGGGCAUGGUGGUGGGUGCUUGUAAUCCCAGCUACUGGGGGAGGCUGAGGCGGGAGAAUCGCUGAAACCCAGGAGACAGAAGUUGCUGUGAGCCGAGACCACACCACUGCACUCCAGCCUGGGUGAGAGUGAGACUGUCUCAAAAAAAAAAAAAAAAAAAAAAAAAAAGCAAGAAAGCUCCCAUUUAGAUCACUCGGACAAAAGAUUUCUUUUUGUGCCAAAAUGUUCCACUAGGCUUCCAGUUUUUACCACAUAACUUGACAGUCAUGCAAGACUUAAGUGUAUUUUCAGCUAUCCUUUCUCUUUCAUUUAUUUCUGUUUAAUAAGCUCUGUCCAUUGAUUCUAGUUAGUACAUUAUAUAUCUUUUUAAUCACUUACCUGCAG
rnacentral:lncRNA from 10 species